AAUCACUGUUCUCAAGGUCCGAGCCCUGCUGGUUUUCCAGCCUUCCUUUACCUGUGAGCAAGGUGUGAAGCCUCUGGCCAAUCACAAUCAGUAAUUAUUAAAAUAACCACCUGGGAUUUGGGAUCGAGAUCCGGAUUCGAACAGCCCUGUGAUAUAGAGCACAACCUAAUGUGCCACACUGUUCUAAUCAGCAGACAUAAAAGAGGCCCUAGGCCCUAUUUUUCACCUCCUCCAAUUCCUCCCUGCCGUAUUACUUCAUGCAAUCAAAGUGGUGUCUAUAGAAACCGAUAAUAAUUUAGAUAAAAAUAAUUACGCUUAAGAUAAUGCCAUGAAUUAGUGUAAUUAUGAUAUAUGAUACGUAGAAGAUUGGUUGAUAUGCAGUUGACCACAUUUUCACUAAUAUGUAGGGGAAUCCAAAGGUGACAGAUGAGCAUCAGUUAAGCACUAACUGCAGGCAAAAAUGUAGAUCAUGGUGUGUGGAGUAAAUGAAAUAUAUUUGUAUGUAGGGUAUUUAUACAGUAGGUUUAAAUACAGAAGCUGGCGAUACUGAUAAUUACUCAAAAGUACACAGGGGCUUUAUUUCAAGUGCCCCCAUAGUUAUAUCUAUAUUUGACAGAUGUUCACAGUUUUACACAUAUUCUCUUGGUUAUAAAAUAUGCCAUGGUUUCCCUGCAAACCUUUACACAGGAAAUAGCUACUGGCCUGCUGACUGAUGUAACUCUCCCUCUUUGUAGAGCCCUUUUAAAGUAUUGUCACUCAUGUAUUUUGAUUUCCUAUUUUCGCCAAUAUCUGAUGUCGUGUGAUUUAAUUGUUUUAAGUUCUUUCUUUCUCAACACCUUCUACCUGGAACACACUGCAUCAUCACACAGUGAGCUGAUGUCCAGGACUCUGUCUGAGUUGAAUGUGAAGUGAAUCACCUUUCACCUUAUAAGUAACAGCUCUGGCUUCCAGCGGAUAUUGUUGCAGGUUAAUUUGGGCCCCCAAGAGCCUUGUGCGAUGAACGUGUUCCUCCUGAGAGAUGAAGGUUCAUCUCACUUCAUGUUGUUGACUGAGUCUCAGAUAUGUUUCUGAAGGUGGUGAGAACUUCAGUCUGAACCACAGAAUAAUGAAGGUGGCCACAACUUCAGACUCCAUCCAUCCAUCCAUCAUCUAUACCGCUUUAUCCAUCUGGGUCGUGGG